UAGGGACUUUAUUUUUGUAUAAUGCUCUGGGAAAGUUUUUGAGACUUUUGCACAGUAUGAAUACUUAAAUUGUUAUUAUAAUCAUUGCUUUGCAAUUUUAAAGUUGUAAUAAUUGCAAUUUAAAAGUGAUAGCAUAUAUAGGAUGAUCCAGUUCCCCUUUGGC